rnacentral:rRNA from 1 species
GAGUUUGAUCAUGGCUCAGGAUGAACGCCGGCGGUGUGCCUAAUACAUGCAAGUCGUACGCACUGGCCCAACUGAUUGAUGGUGCUUGCACCUGAUUGACGAUGGAUCACCAGUGAGUGGCGGACGGGUGAGUAACACGUAGGUAACCUGCCCCGGAGCGGGGGAUAACAUUUGGAAACAGAUGCUAAUACCGCAUAACAACAAAGGCCACAUGGCUUUUGUUUGAAAGAUGGCUUUGGCCAUCACUCUGGGAUGGACCUGCGGUGCAUUAGCUAGUUGGUAAGGUAACGGCUUACCAAGGCGAUGAUGCAUAGCCGAGUUGAGAGACUGAUCGGCCACAAUGGAACUGAGACACGGUCCAUACUCCUACGGGAGGCAGCAGUAGGGAAUCUUCCACAAUGGGCGCAAGCCUGAUGGAGCAACACCGCGUGAGUGAAGAAGGGUUUCGGCUCGUAAAGCUCUGUUGUUGGAGAAGAACGUGCGUGAGAG